UAGCUCAGAGGCUAAAGCGUCUGCCUGGAAUGCAGGAGACCCGGGUUUGAUCCCGG
rnacentral:tRNA from 1 species